GAAAUGCGAUACUUGGUGUGAAUUGCAGAAUCCCGUGAACCAUCGAGUCUUUGAACGCAAGUUGCGCCCGAGGCUUUUGGCCGAGGGCACGUCUGCCUGGGCGUCACGCAUCGCAACCCCCCCAACCACUACGGUAGUUGAGGGAGGAGGAUGGUUUCCCGUGCCUCACCGGGCGCGGUUGGCCUAAAUAAGGAGCCUAAGGCAUCGGUUUGCCGCGGCGAUAGGUGGAGAACAAGGCCUCGGCCGUGGAAUCAACCGGUCGCGCAUCCCUUUGAAUGUAGAGCUCGCAGGACCCAUUGUUGUCGCCUUGUUGCGUCACAAACGUUGCGACCCCAGGUCAGGCGGGGCUACCCGCUGAAUUUAA
rnacentral:rRNA from 1 species